rnacentral:rRNA from 1 species
GAUGAACGCUAGCGGCAGGCCUAACACAUGCAAGUCGAGGGGCAGCACGUCUUCGGAUGGUGGCGACCGGCGCACGGGUGCGUAACGCGUAUGCAACCUACCUCUUACAGUGGGAUAGCCCAGAGAAAUUUGGAUUAAUACCGCAUAGUGUACAGAUUCAGCAUUGGGACUGUAUUAAACAUUUAUGGGUAAGAGAUGGGCAUGCGUUCUAUUAGUUAGUUGGAGUGGUAACGGCACCCCAAGACAGCGAUAGAUAGGGGCCCUGAGAGGGGGAUCCCCCACACUGGUACUGAGACACGGACCAGACUCCUACGGGAGGCAGCAGUGAGGAAUAUUGGACAAUGGGCGAGAGCCUGAUCCAGCCAUGCCGCGUGCAGGAAGACGGCCCUAU